rnacentral:rRNA from 1 species
GACGAACGCUGGCGGCGUGCUUAACACAUGCAAGUCGAACGCUAAGGCCUGGCUUUUGUGCGGUGCGGGUGUGUCGAGCGGGUGAGUGUAACGUGUGAAUCACCUGCUCUUCUUUGUGGGAAACGCCUGGGACUGGGGCUCUAAUCCGGUAUCCGCCCUGGCUCCGUAUUGGGGUGUGUGGAGUGGGGUUUACUGGUUUUGGAUGCGCUCCCGGCCUAUUAGCUUGUUGGUGGGGUAGUGGCCUACCAAGGCGCGGGCGGGUAGCCGGCCUGGGUGGGUGACCGGCCACAUUGGGACUGAGACACGGCCCAGACUCCUACGGGAGGCAGCAGUGGGGAAUAUUGCACAAUGGGCGGAAGCCUGAUGCAGCAACGCCGCGUGCGGGAUGACGGCCUUCGGGUUGUAAACCGCUUUCACCUCUGACGAAGCGAGAGUGACGGUACUUGCAGAAGAAGCGCCGGCUAACUACGUG